UAGGGAAUCUUCCACAAUGGACGAAAGUCUGAUGGAGCAACGCCGCGUGAGUGAAGAAGGGUUUCGGCUCGUAAAACUCUGUUGUUAAAGAAGAACAUAUCUGAGAGUAACUGUUCAGGUAUUGACGGUAUUUAACCAGAAAGCCACGGCUAACUACGUGCCAGCAGCCGCGGUAAUACGUAGGUGGCAAGCGUUGUCCGGAUUUAUUGGGCGUAAAGCGAGCGCAGGCGGUUUUUUAAGUCUGAUGUGAAAGCCUUCGGCUCAACCGAAGAAGUGCAUCGGAAACUGGGAAACUUGAGUGCAGAAGAGGACAGUGGAACUCCAUGUGUAGCGGUGAAAUGCGUAGAUAUAUGGAAGAACACCAGUGGCGAAGGCGGCUGUCUGGUCUGUAACUAACGCUGAGGCUCGAAAGUAUGGGUAGCAAACAGG
rnacentral:rRNA from 1 species